UUGAGGCGUCACAGCACACAUUAGUUUUUGUUCUAAAUUGCAUUAUCACUAUUUACAUUGCAUGUCAAACAAGGCGCAGCUAAUUUUUGCUUAAACAUGAGCAUAUACUCAACUUGCUACAUUCAAAUGAUGAUCUAUAUAUUUUUGUGUAAGAAUUCAUGUGCUACUUUUUUCUUGCAGAGUGAUGCCUUGAAGCUAGAUGUUAUCUGGUCUACAUCUAUUUUCCAGAUUAUCCCAAGCUAUUGGUUUUAUCCUCGAACUUGACUUAGCAUUAAUUCAGUUGGAAGAACAAAAUGGCCAGGGACAAACAAUAUAAAGGUUCUGUUGUGCUUUCUUAGCUGACUAAAAUUCUGGAAAACUAGAGUGUAUAAUCUACAGAACCUGUCUCUCUAAGAGGACCAAGCUUCCCGAACAAUAGCGGCUAUCCUUUUGAUGAUAACACAGGGAGAGAUAAGGUACGAGUACAGCGCAACCACGUUGAUGGGUUUCAGUUCCGUCUCAAGAAUGGGCUAAUGAGCAUGGAGAUUGGUCAUACGGACAGUAUUUCCUUAAUUGUGAUGCAUGAAGGAAAAAUGCCAAAGUUUCUUGGGGGACCAUGAGCUGAACUAACAUGUAUGACAAAUGCAUGUAAAACUAGGUGUCAUACCUGAUUCCACGCGACCUGGUGGUGCAGUAGAGAGAACAAAAAUAUGGCGCCAAAGCU